AGAGGAACAGGCCGACCCCUUGGAGGUUGAUGCAAAGAAGAUUCUCUGUGUGACGGAGCUAUUUCCCGACGUGUGGCAGGGCGCCGUGGAUCUGACAUUGUUGGCUAAGCUGGUUCAGGGAGAACUGAAUCCCGAAUGCUGUAGUCGGUGCGAACUGAUCGAAUUGUUCCGAAGCACAGCCGCUUCAGGACCCGAGGGGGCACGUGCUAUGUCAAAAAUUACGGUUAUAGCGAUGAAGGGGGUGAAUGAGCAUGUCGUUCUAAAGCCCGACCUGCAUAAGGAUGAAAAAACCCAGGACUGACUAGUGUGUUUGUGCGCGGCGGAUUCGGAGUGCCCUCUUCUGUAUGAAUAUUGCUGAAUAAAGAAAAAAGUUCAUUGUUGUAAAGAAAA